UGUAGUAUUUGUUUGGUCGACACACCACGUUGGUUGUCGUAAGUGCUCCCUGCAGUGAGGUGGUAUUUGAGGUAAAUUUUAGAAGUGCCUAGACAAAACGUGCUGCUUGUUGUGUGCAGUGACCAUCCCAAACCCUCCGGACUCGUGUAACGCCAUUAGUUCGCCGUGUGUUUCGAGCGAUCCACCAGUGUCGUCAGUGAGUGCCCUAGUACAGCUCCCGUCCGAACUGCCUUUGUUCUGCCGAGCUGCUGCCGGCGCUGUUCUGCCGAGCUGUUCUGCCGGCGCUCUCGUCAAAAGUCUGGUACUGGGGCUUCGAAUUGUAGUGUUUGGAAGACUGUUGAAGGUUGUGCUUUUGUGGAGCUGGAGUUCAUCGGCAGUUCUACAGUGCUUGCGCCAGAGAAACGUCGGUGCUUCUGUACCUGUUAGACGAAGGAGCGUUUGCCAAGUCUUGAAAGGUAGACAUCGGUGACGGUGUAUACGUUGAAAAGGGCCUGCUGAAGAGGCUGUGCCUGGAUGCUAACAACUCAGGCUUUCACUUCGCGGAGGGCCUCCUUAAAGCUCCUUUUUCAAUAGAAGACGUUGAAGGGAGGUCCUUCUUUGGGCGGCUGUCAAAUGCCUUCCACAGAAGGAUCUGUUGGAUUCCAAGAAGGUCAACACCAUAGUAGACUACACAACGCAACAUUUCAGCCUACUUCCAGGGCAGCUGGAGAACUCGUCCCCCUUACUAGCCCGGGGAUAUUAAAUGGAUGUGUUCAAGCACAAA